GAUGAAGAACGCAGCGAAAUGCGAUAAGUAAUGUGAAUUGCAGAAUUCAGUGAAUCAUCGAAUCUUUGAACGCACCUUGCGCCUUUUGGUAUUCCGAAAGGCACACCUGUUUGAGCGUCAUGAAUACCUCAAUCUCCAUCUUUUCUUCGGAUUGAUGGGUGACUUGGAUGUUGAGCCCUGCUGGUAUGCUAUAUCAGCUGGCUUUAAACUUAUUAGCCGGCUCUGUACUGGAUCGGUUUGACUCGACGUGAUAAUAUUAUCGUUGAGGAUGCAGGUCUCAUGCAGCCGGAAAGUAUCAAAGCAGCUUCUAGCUUGCCUUUAGUGCACUUUUACAUUUUAGACCUCAGAUCAGGUGGGACUACCCGCUGAACUUAAGCAUAUCAAUAAGCGGAGGA
rnacentral:misc_RNA from 1 species